rnacentral:rRNA from 1 species
UUGAACGCUGGCGGAAUGCUUUACACAUGCAAGUCGAGCGGCAGCGCGGGGGCAACUCUGGCGGCGAGCGGCGAACGGGUGAGUAACACAUCGGAACGCGUCCAGUAAUGGGGGAUAACCUGGCGAAAGCCAGGCUAAUACCGCAUACGUCCUGAGGGAGAAAGCGGGGGACCUGCAAGGGCCUCGCGUUAUUGGAGUGGCCGAUGUCGGAUUAGCUAGUUGGUGGGGUAAAGGCCUACCAAGGCGACGAUCCGUAGCUGGUCUGAGAGGACGACCAGCCACACUGGGACUGAGACACGGCCCAGACUCCUACGGGAGGCAGCAGUGGGGAAUUUUGGACAAUGGGCGCAAGCCUGAUCCAGCCAUUCCGCGUGAGUGAAGAAGGCCUUCGGGUUGUAAAGCUCUUUCGGCCGGGACGAAAAAAUGACGGUACCUCAGGAGGAAGCCCAGGCUAACUACGU